rnacentral:rRNA from 1 species
GACGAACGCUGGCGGCGUGCUUAAUACAUGCAAGUAGAACGGUAAGGAGAUGAGCUUGCUCUUCGUGGGUGAGUUGCGAAAGUGAGAGUAACGUGAAGGUAACCUGCCUUGGAGCGGGGGAUAACUAUUUGAAACGAUAGCUAAUACCGCAUAACAACGGAUUGCACGGGGCAGGUAUGUGAAAGGGGCAAUUGCUGGACUACAAGAUGGACCUGCGGUGUAUUAGCUAGUAGGUGAGGUAAUGGCUCACCUAGGCGACGAUAGAUAGCCUACCGGAGAGGGUGAUCGGCCGCACUGGGACGGAGACACGCCCCAGAGGCCUACGGGAGGGAGCAGUAGGGCAUCGUCGGCAAUGGGGGGGAAUCUGACAGAGCAGCGCCGAGUGAGUGAAGACGGUUUCCGGAUCGGAAAGAUCGGUUGUAGGUCAAGAACGGGUGUGAGCGUGGAAAGAUCACUCUGUGACGGUAGCUUAACAGGAAGCACCGGCUAACUACGUG